AGCGAACGCUGGCGGCAGGCUUAACACAUGCAAGUCGAGCGGGCGUAGCAAUACGUCAGCGGCAGACGGGUGAGUAACGCGUGGGAACGUACCUUUUGGUUCGGAACAACACAGGGAAACUUGUGCUAAUACCGGAUAAGCCCUUACGGGGAAAGAUUUAUCGCCGAAAGAUCGGCCCGCGUCUGAUUAGCUAGUUGGUGAGGUAACGGCUCACCAAGGCGACGAUCAGUAGCUGGUCNGAGAGGAUGAUCAGCCACAUUGGGACUGAGACACGGCCCAAACUCCUACGGGAGGCAGCAGUGGGGAAUAUUGGACAAUGGGCGCAAGCCUGAUCCAGCCAUGCCGCGUGAGUGAUGAAGGCCCUAGGGUUGUAAAGCUCUUUCAGCCCUGACGAAGCGAGAGUGACGGUAGGGCAGAAGAAGCACCGGCCAACUACGUGCCAGCAGCCGCA
rnacentral:rRNA from 1 species